GGAAAGGGCCACUAGGGAAACGGGGUAUAGGAAAACCUGUUACUAGAUGGGAAGACGAAAUAAAAAAUAUAGCUGGUCAAAACUGGAUGCGAAUAGCUCAAGAUAGAGAUGGGUGGAAAACUCUGGAGGAGGCCUUCACCUGUGAAGACGGGGUUCUUGCUACAUAUUAAAAUUCAUUUUGAAAUAGUUUUAGAGCUGCCAUUGGGAAGCUAUAAGUAAUUAAGUUUGCUUAUAGUUUUUUGAUGUUGGUUCUAAAAUUAUUUUAACUUAACUCUAAACAACAAUGUUAAAAUGUUAAAAUUUCGCAAGAAAUAAAAGGCUAUUUUAUUUUAUUUAUUUAUUAUUUAUUUGCAGGUUCAUACAUUUGCCAUUUAAUGCAAGUAGCUAAUGUAUGAACUCGCAAUAAACACUAAUCAAUGUAUAAACAGACCCCAAUGUCAGCCUCACAUACCUGAAUGGGCUGUGUGCCACACUUUCCCAUGCUGACCUUACAUGAAGUUGAAUUGAACAUAGGUACAGUCAGCUGCAAAAAGUAUGUAUCGAAAGAAUUGUACUUGGUACUACACUCUUAUUACGCUGCGGGCUUAGCAUGGUCUUAGUUAUCACGCGAUAUGGUGACAAUCUUGUUGUUAAAAUGACAGUUUUCUUCGAUUUUAUCGUUCACACUACGGUUGCAGACGAUAAUAGGAGUUAUCCACAUUUGACAGCGAUAGAUGACAAUCGACAAUUUGCAUAACAUGGUCGUCGGAUAAUUUGACACAUUAUCCCAUUUUGGCAGUUCAAUAUAGUUAAUUUUAUCUACGUGCUUCUUAGGUCACGACAAGCGUUGUCGUGGAUGCAAAGCUCAUGAAAAAACCUAUGUUAAGGUAUAAAUUAUCAGUAAGUAUCCGUUUUUCUAUGAUUUUAUUGAGUGUUAGUUAGUUAGUUAGUAGUGUAACUCCUCUGGAGUUGCAGGUGUACAUAGGCUACGGAGACUGCUUACCAUCAGGCGGGCCGUAUGCUUGUUUGCCACCGACGUAGCAAAAAAAAAAAGUUCCGCUGCAUAUAAUAUUGUCAAUAUUUUCUUUGCAGGGAUGUCGAGAUUUUUUUUUUCUUCCAGCUCGCAACUGCUGCAGAGGAAAAAGAAAGAAGAAGGAUUCAGCGACGAUCUUUGAGGGACGCUGCAAACCCCUUUGAUAUGCCGGACGAAGAGUUCCGUCAUAUAUACAGAGUACGAAAGGAGUUAGUGUUAUAUAUUUGUGAAGAACUCAACGCCGACCUCCAGCCUCACAAGGGUGAUGGAUUGCCAUCUCACCUUAAGACUUAAAGACCAAUGGAUAAUAGUUUUUCCUGGAACUGAUCGGUCCCGACGAUCAGUUGCCUCAGGAUUUGAGGAUGCAUAUGGUCUGCCAAAUAUCUUGGGUGCAGUAGACUGCACUCAAGUGAAAAUAUUUCCCACCUGUGCCACACGGAGUGCAAUAUCUGAAUCGGAAAGGCGUUCACGCUCUUAAUGUACAGCUAAUUGCAGAUGUCAACUGUAAGAUCUUGGCAGUAAACACGAGGUUUCCUGGCCGUGUGCACGACUCUUUCAUAUUUAACAAUUCGUCCAUUUAGGAUGAAUUAAGAAGAUUGUACAAUGGCCACAUUGGGGAGUAUUUCCUUCUGGGUAAGCAGAAAAUUGUGUAUCUGUACCUAGUGUAAAUUUAUUCGAUGGGGAGACGUGACGUACGCGUUUGCGUUAACUGUCAUUUUGUAUGGAAUUUUGAGUUUCCAAAACAUCCCGCUUGGCGCGCUGUUUCUAAAUCCCUUAGCACCACUUGCACCAUUUCACUAACUCGGGGUUAACUGGUUAACCCUGGAGUUACCAUGUUACCAGUACAAUUUCACAUUGGGUUAACGGUUUAACCGGUUAACCCCGGGUUAUUGGAAUGGGGCAAGUGCAUGUUAGUAAAUGUACUAAGAUCACGACCACAGAAUAAAUAGUUCAUGACUAAGUUAAUAUACCUAUCAUAAUGUAAAAAAGGCAUAAGCAAGGGGGAAGUUUCGUUAGUUGUUCAGAUGAUUAAGUAUUAUGUAACCAAAAAAUAAUAAUUUCAGGUGACUCGGGGUAUGCUCUUGAGCCAUGGCUCAUGACGCCAGUGCUGAAUCCUGCCCCGGGAAGCCCAGAAGCAAGGUAGGUACACGGUCUGGCACUGUCGCGUGCGCAACACGAUCAAGCGUACCAAUGGGUACCUCAAAAACGUAUUCCGGUGCCUGGGCCACGACCGCGUCUUACACUACAGCCCGACGAAGGCAUCGUCAAUAAUAAAUGCAUGUUGCGUAGUAUACAACAUAAUGCAACAUUAUAGAAAUGUUCCCGAGGAAAUCGUAGGAGAUAUUGAUGAAGACGCUCCUCAAGAACUUCCUCAUCGUCAUGCGCAAAACGGACUACUAUUAAGAGUGGCGCAGGAAAAGCGUGCGCGUCUAAUAAAUACAUAUUUUGCUUA